UCUGUCCCAGCAGGUAUUAAUCUCUGGAGAAGACACAUCCACAGUUAGCACUUUCUUCAGAUGCUGACGCUCGGUGAGCAGUUGCCCUUGGUCACAAGAUUUAGAAGACACAGUGUCCAUCCUCCCAGAUUGGAUCUGUUUUUCAUAUGGAUCUUCUGUUUCUAUGUCUUUUUUAAAAAUAACUUUUUGGGAAACCUUUUGGAUUACAACUGUUCAUCCUCACCUAUGCAAAGAAAGGGAAGCUAUUGCUGGGAUUUUGAGGAGCUUUUCCUAAAAGGAUUGUACACCUUAGAAGUGCUUGAGGAAGAGUGAUGAAGAUAGGCAUGAAGCCUUCGUCUCACAGCUGCAUGCGUAGUCACUGUUGAAGCAAAUGCCUAGUCACUGUUGAAGCAAAUGCCUACCUAAUUUGACACUCUUGGUGUGUUUAAAAAAUUUUUUUGAGUUUGCAAAUAAGCAUAUUAAGUCUACUGAUGGAGCCUUCGGGCAGUGAACAGUUAUUUGAGGACCCUGAUCCUGGAGGCAAAUCCCAAGAUGCAGAGGCCAGAAAGCAGACAGAAUCAGAACAGAAAUUGUCUAAAAUGACCCACAAUGCUUUGGAGAACAUUAACGUGAUUGGCCAAGGCUUGAAGCAUCUCUUCCAGCACCAGCGCAGGAGGUCAUCAGUGUCUCCACAUGAUGUGCAGCAAAUUCAGGCAGAUCCAGAACCUGAAAUGGAUCUGGAAAACCAGAACGCAUGUGCUGAGAUUGAUGGUGUCCCCACCCACCCCACAGCUCUGAAUCGUGUCCUGCAGCAGAUUCGAGUGCCACCCAAGAUGAAGAGAGGGACAAGCUUGCAUAGUAGGCGGGGCAAGCCAGAGGCCCCAAAGGGAAGUCCCCAAAUCAACAGGAAGUCUGGUCAGGAGAUGACAGCUGUUAUGCAGUCAGGCCGACCCAGGUCUUCAUCCACAACUGAUGCCCCUACCAGCUCUGCUAUGAUGGAAAUAGCUUGUGCUGCUGCUGCUGCUGCUGCUGCAUGUCUACCGGGAGAGGAGGGAACUGCGGAGCGGGUAAGUUUGUUAGAUUUUGUUUUUCUGUUAACUUACUGUUUUUUCGUACCUAGGACUCUCCAGACUUUCCUUUGGUAACUAAAAAGAUAUCUCAGCAAAUACCUUAAAGUUAUGGUAAAAGCAUUUUUUUCCCAUUUCAAAUGGGCAAAUAAUAAUUAUAGCUAAUGAAUGAAUGCUUAGAAUUAUAUUCCUAUUUCCUUCCUAACAUAUUGCUGUAUUUUAUCCUUUCGUUAAAACCUUAAGUAUAUUUCAUGUAUUCUUGCUGUGUAUUUAUUUAAGAGGGUCAGUUUUAUGGUGGAGGAAUAAAGAUGCUUUAUUUCUUAUUGUUUUGAUUUUGCACAUGGAAAUGGCUUUCUUACAUUAAUGAAUGUAGUGAAUAAAGUUCUAG